rnacentral:rRNA from 16 species
GUUGCGGUGGAUGCCUGGGUCCGUGUCGUGACGAAGGACGGAGCUGCCUCCGAUAUGUUUGGUGAAACGCAGAGUCUCGUGAACCGCACAGAGGAACGGCUCUGAACGCACUCUGCCAGCGGGGAAAGCACCGCUCUCCUGCGCUGCGUGUGUCUCAG